CUGGAUUACGGGAUAAAAAAAAUGCCGCGGCGCAAAGGAGUUUGCAGCCACCUCGCCGUUUCCGGGGAGGGGAUGGUUGGAAAACUAAAAUGAAGAUCCGAGUUUCCAAAAAAGCUCCUGAAAUGUCUCAACAGAGUGACCCUUUCCACCAUAUAACUAACAGGAAUAGAAUAAUUUCCUGCACAGUUCAACCCAAGGAAGAUACUAUACUCAAGCAUUUGGAAUAGAAUAGAAGAAAAUUGACAGAUCUAUCACUGCCAAGGGCUACUGAAUAGCCUAUCCAGCACCACAAUGUAUCAUGAAUUGCUGCUGGCUUUCUUCGAAAAUGGAGAAUUUGCAAGCUGGAAAAGUUUUGGUGCUUAUUCCCAGGCUUUGUAGUACACAGACUGUUGGCCUGUAUUGUGGUAAAGGGAUGGCUGACUCGUGGAAUGUUAAUUGAUUUGAAUAUUUUCUCAAUAAACAUAGGUUUGCUUGCGUUCGUGAUCAAUGUCAAUCUCAUUGUUCUCUCUCUGGGAUGCAUGAUUUGUGUUUUUACUAAGACAUUAAUAAAUAACUUUCAGUUUCAGGGCCAGUGUUCAUAUAAUAAACUUCACUGGUGGCUGGGGCCCAGAAUAAGUGGUGGAACAAAGGCUGGAAAUUACAUACUUAUCACCUCCUUGGAAAAAAAAUUAUUUGCAUCCACACACAAUCAUUUCUGAACACCCAAAAUAAAAUCAAUUGACAGCUGACCAAUUUGGAGCUCUUUCCCCUUCCCCAGUAGCUUCUCUGCUGUGUCAUAGUCCUACACCUGGUCUCCCUUACCCAGUCAGAAAUGCCUAUUAGAAAUUAAGUACCAGUGUACAGUUGCAGUUGGCAGUGGUUGUAUUUCAGGGCUUUACUGAUUAUCUUUUCUCCAGAUGGACAUGAAUUUCCACAGAAGACAUAGCCUAACAGAAUGUAUCAUUUCUGAUAUUUUCUAAUGAGGUGUGGUAGCUUAAUUGAAAGCAAUAGAGAUAUGUCAGUGAAAGUGCUCCAUCUAAGAAAAAUGUGGGAUGUGAGCACAGGAACACAAACACCGUGUAUAGAGGAGAACUUGUGAUUGGAGUAGUUUGGUAAAGUGAACAUUUAAAGCCUUCUUCAUUUGCAUGCUUUAGCACUCUGCUCCAUGUUCUGAUAUUUUGAUAGUAAAUAAAGCUGCAGUAAACCUUCAUAGAGAUGUAACUCUAGAUACAUAGCCUUGUUUUAAAUGUAAAAAGCAAAGAUCUUAAUGCCAUUACCAAAUGAACGUUUCAAACCUAAGAGUUCUUGUGCACAAACUUUAAAAUAUCAUUAAAGGACGAAGAGGUACAAAUGAAUGUCCAUAAUCUAGAGGAGAGUAGUAAUAAUCAGCUUUUAAUGGCAAAGCGUUAAGAAUUUAAAAUUUAUGGCCAGAAAGUACCUUAGGAGAGUUUUCCUGCAUGUGUUAAUGACAAACCUACUGCACGUGAAAACUACAAAAGGACAUUGCCUCUUUAACGGGGACUACUACUUGUGCUCCUUGGAGCUUUGCAGUAUUAGUAAAGCAGCAUGAAAGAGUUGAUUUUCAUUUUAUGUUGUGCUUGUGAGGCAUUAACAUGAUGUUCUAACACUUGUAAAUGAAUACAGCUCUUGCCUAAUCUGUCAUUUUAAUGCCUUAUAGAUUUUAUUUCACUCUGUGUUGUACCAGAUUCUCAAUAAUAAUAAUCAA